AACGAACGCUGGCGGCAUGCCUAACACAUGCAAGUCGAACGAGACCUUCGGGUCUAGUGGCGCACGGGUGCGUAACGCGUGGGAACCUGCCCUUAGGUUCGGAAUAACUCCCCGAAAGGGGUGCUAAUACCGGAUAAUGUCUUCGGACCAAAGAUUUAUCGCCUUUGGAUGGGCCCGCGUUGGAUUAGCUAGUUGGUAGGGUAAAAGCCUACCAAGGCGACGAUCCAUAGCUGGUCUGAGAGGAUGAUCAGCCACACUGGGACUGAGACCCGGCCCAGACUCCUACGGGAGGCAGCAGUGGGGAAUAGUGGACAAUGGGCGAAAGCCUGAUCCAGCAAUGCCGCGUGAGUGAUGAAGGCCUUAGGGUUGUAAAGCUCUUUUACCCGGGAUGAUAAUGACAGUACCGGGAGAAUAAGCUCCGGCUAACUCCGUG
rnacentral:rRNA from 1 species